GUCGGGAUAGCUCAGUUGGUAGAGGAGAGGACUGAAAAUCCUCGUGUCACCCGGU
rnacentral:tRNA from 1 species